CCUACGGGAGGCAGCAGUGAGGAAUAUUGGUCAAUGGACGCAAGUCUGAACCAGCCAUGCCGCGUGCAGGAAGACGGCUCUAUGAGUUGUAAACUGCUUUUGUACGAGGGUAAACGAAGAUACGCGGAUCGGUCUGAAAGUAGCGUACGAAUAAGGAUCGGCUAACUCCGUGCCAGCAGCCGCGGUAAUACGGAGGAUUCAAGCGUUAUCCGGAUUUAUUGGGGUUAAAGGGUGCGUAGGCGGUCGGAUAAGUUAGAGGUGAAAUCCCAAGGCUCAACUUCGGACUUUCCUCUGAUACGGUUCGGCUAGAGCGUAGUUGCGGUCGGCGGAAUGUCUGGUGUAGCGG
rnacentral:rRNA from 1 species